UUAUAACACGUCCACUCGGGAUGUAUGGCAUAUAUUGCACUCAGCCCUCGGGGCUUACGCCCUCGUGCUUCAGUGCAAUAUAUUCCAUACAUGUCAUCCCUCGUGCCCGUGUUAUAACUAUAUAUCUAACAUAUUCUGAAAGAAAUACGUAAACAAGAUGCAGGCAAAGCUUUAUGUUUUUGGUAAACAGUGCAUUGAACCGACUUUUUGUGAUAAUCUGCAUAUUCCUCUAGCUGGCAGUAUGCGGCCUGGAAUCGAGGAUAUACUAGACAAGAUUAAUUUUAACGCCCAUGUGCAGUAUAAUUGCGAGAGCACGUAUAAAAGUAGUGAAUGUAGCCUAGGAUACUUUCAUACUGAGUUGCAAGAAGCAUUAGUCCAUGAUGAGUUGCUUACUGUGGAAAUCAGUCACUGUCCUGAGCCUGGUUUCGGCUGUUGGAGGACAAUUGAGUGAAGAUGUGAGGCUGAUAGAUUCGUCUGGUUCAACAGAUACCAAAAUUGGCAGACUGGAGGUCUAUUACAAUGGACAAUGGGGGACAGUGUGUCAGGACAACUUCGGUAUAAAUGAUGCAAGAGUGGCUUGUCGUCAACUAGGUUUCCUAGGUUACAUAGGCUAUGGGGUCGUACGAAAUGCCCUAACAGUGUCAGCAUCCACACCGAUAUGGUUGGACGAGCUUGGUUGCUUUGGAUCUGAAACUAGACUAGAUGACUGCCCACACAAUUCUAUUGGAAUUCAUAAUUGUGAUCGUUCUGACGAUGUGGGAUUAGUGUGUGCAAUAAAUGAAGAUUUGAGACUUGUGAAUAGUUCUGGCACCACUGGGUUAGGUCCCGAUGGUCGACUGGAGUUGUUUUAUAACGGACAAUGGGGGACAGUGUGUGACGAUAGCUUCAGUCCAAACGAUGCAAGGGUGGCUUGUCGUCAGCUGGGGUAUGAUGACUAUGCUAAUUAUGGACGAGUAGGAACAUUAGGUUUCUCCCAAUCAUCAUCAACCACUCGGACAUGGCUAAACGAGCUUCGUUGCUUAGGAAACGAGACCAAACUCAUUAAUUGUCCUGCUAACACUAUCGGAGUUGAAGAUUGCACCCAUACACAAGAUGUGGCCUUAUUCUGUAUUUCGGAGGGAGACCUGAGGCUGGUAGACAAUUCAGGCCGAACAGGAGGCUCCUCUGGCAGACUGGAGGUCUAUAACAGUGGACAAUGGGGGACAGUGUGUGAUGAUAGCUUCAGUCCAAAUGAUGCAAAAGUGGCUUGUCGUCAGCUGGGGUACGAUGACUAUACUCAGUAUGGACGAGUAGGAACAUUAGGUUUCUCCCAUCAUCAUCAACCACUCGGACAUGGCUGGACGAGCUUCGUUGCUUAGGAACUGAGAGCAGACUCAUCGAUUGUCCUGCUAACACUAUCGGAGUGGAAGAUUGCACCCACACACAAGAUGUGGCCCUGUUCUGUAUUUUGGAUGGAGACCUGAGGCUGAUAGACAACUCAGGCCGAACAGGAGGCUCCUCUGGCAGACUGGAGGUCUAUUACAGUGGACAAUGGGGGACAGUGUGUGAUGAUAGCUUCAGUCCAAACGAUGCAAGAGUGGCUUGUCGUCAAC